rnacentral:rRNA from 1 species
GCUUGUCUCAAAGAUUAAGCCAUGCAUGUCUAAGUAUAAACUGCUUAUACUGUGAAACUGCGAAUGGCUCAUUAAAUCAGUUAUAGUUUAUUUGAUGGUACCUACUACUCGGAUAACCGUAGUAAUUCUAGAGCUAAUACGUGCGUAAAUCCCGACUCCUGGAAGGGACGUAUUUAUUAGAUUUAAGGCCAACCGAGCUUGCUCGUCUCUUGGUGAAUCAUGAUAACUUCACGAAUCGCAUGGCCUCGCGCCGGCGAUAUUUCAUUCAAAUUUCUGCCCUAUCAACUUUCGACGGUAGGAUAGAGGCCUACUGUGGUGAUAACGGGUAACGAAGAAUAAGGGUUCGAUUUCGGAGAGGGAGCCUGAGAAACGGCUACCACAUCCAAGGAAGGCAGCAGG